GGGCGGCCGGCCGCGCGGAGGGAGUGAGUCACCUGACCGCUGCUCCUUCGCUGCCUUCGCCGCCUUCGCCGCCGCCGCCGUCAGUCGGGCCGCGCCGCGCCGCCCCGGGGCUCUGUUUCCUGUCAUCGAGGGGAAUUGUGCGUUUGGACUGCUCGUAGGCUGCGAGCCUCCCUAGCGUGGCACUCGGGCUGAUCCGAGGAUGAGUGGAGUAGUAAUCGUGAAAGAACGUGUGUGGGAAAAACAGGCUGCAACGUCAUGCUUGGAAGAACAAAGACUUUUGUAGGAUGUUGAUCUUUUCGCGGAAUUAUAUCAGUGCUGGGAUUUUACCCACGGAAGAUGCUGCGGCUGGGUCUUUGUGUAUUCGCACACUCUGUAUCCCCGAGGGUUUGCAUUUUAAGACAACUCGAGAAGAUAAAGGGUGGAAAGCCCAGGCGUGUGGGUGGCAGAGUGCUCGAGAGCUUAGCUCGGCGGAGCAGAGAAAUGGGAAGAGGUGUCAGCCUGCUGCUUCCUGGUCCAGGGUAGUGGUGCAAGGGUUGUGCUGUGUGGGCUGGGCUUGAAGGCCCUUGCCCCUUCUGCCUCUGGACCUCCGACGCCAGGGGUGGGGGGGAGGCUCCUGGUGAGUCAGCGUGGAGUGGGCUGGCCCCAGCUGUUUAACCUGCGUUAUCUGUCAAGGGGCUGACCCUGGCUCAGUAUUUUGGUUGGACAGCAGGGUAGGAUGACUCGUUACAAAAGUUGGGCUGCUGAGUCAUUCGCCCCAGCCUCAGAGGUAAUUAGGAACAGCUGUGCAGACACGCUGCUCCUCAUGUGCCACCACUAUAAAAGGCCGGAGAGCACCCGUGAGGGCUUGCUUUGGAAGGCUGAGGGGAACCCAGCCUCAGCUCUGUUUUGAUACAGGUAAUCAGUAGGUGAGGUGCAGAAGCACUCUUAGGAAGUGGCCAAGUAGUAGGAAGGUGGUGUUUAAACACAGGGCAGCCUCGUGACCUACUGCUGGAGAAAACAUCCUUGCGGAGGAGAGAGCUAGAACGGAGAGAGAAAUUUACAGCUAGGAGUAACACGGCGAACAGACACUAUUGUAAUAAAAACAUUUACCAUGCUUAGUGAACCUCGUGUAUUGUUUCAUUUUUGUGCUUUUGUUACUGAGUAGUGUAAACGUUUCAUAAAGUGAAUUGAAUUUGUUCUUUAUAAUAAUUUCGUUAUGAGAACACAGAAGGGGACCUCCUCUCAUUUUUAUUGGCUCAUGGGUUUUCAUGCAUACCUGAGUAGUUUCUAGGGUCAGGCAGGAGGGAAGAAAAAUAUGGAUGGAAUCAGCAGGUCUUAAUUGAGUCUUUCAGGAAGGAACUGUCGAAAGGCAAACAGUAUGUUGCUAGUGUCCUUACAACCUGUGUCACUGUUUUUUGCUGAAAGAAAAUGAGCGUGUAACACCUGCAUGCUAGCGCCCAGUGCAAGCCAAGUUUAGGAAUGGGAAUUGUAGA
rnacentral:lncRNA from 1 species